CUUUCACAGAACUUUGAGUCGCGGCCGUCAACCCCCUCUGCUAGGGUUCCGCCCCCACUGUUACGUGAGCCAGGAAGUUCCGUUACUCCAUUCCUGUAGUGCAUCCUUGGAGCUGCCGUGCUCGUGGUCACGUAGUAGAGGUCUUCGCUAAGUUUUUCCAGAUGAGCGAGGUUCUCAUGGGCAACAAGGGCAUGGCGACUCCGCUACUUAGCCAUCUGGGCUGGAUCUCACACUUCUUUCUUUCUUGUUUUCUUUAGGGCUAUGGCCCCUGUAUUCGUGGUUUUUAGAUUGUAACUUUUAGUCAAACUGCUAUCCUACUUUUGUUGGCAUCGUGGUGUGCCUAAUUUUGUAGGGGUGAUGUUGGGGACCCCAGGACUGCGUUGUUAU